AGAAUCAACGCUGGCGGCGUGCCUAACACAUGCAAGUCGCACGAGAAAGGGACUUCGGUCCCGAGUACAGUGGCGCACGGGUGAGUAACACGUGAAUAAUCUACCUCCGAGUGGGGAAUAACUGAGAGAAAUCUUAGCUAAUACCGCAUAACACUUACGAGUCAAAGCAGCAAUGCGCUUGGAGAGGAGUUCGCGGCAGAUUAGUUAGUUGGCGGGGUAAUGGCCCACCAAGACGAUGAUCUGUAUCCGGCCUGAGAGGGCGCACGGACACACUGGAACUGAAACACGGUCCAGACUCCUACGGGAGGCAGCAGUGGGGAAUUUUGCGCAAUGGGGGAAACCCUGACGCAGCAACGCCGCGUGGAGGAUGAAAUAUCUUGGUAUGUAAACUCCUUUCGAUGGGGAAGAUAGUGACGGUACCCAUAGAAGAAGCCCGGCUAACUUCGUGCCAGCAGCCGC
rnacentral:rRNA from 1 species